CUACGGGAGGCUCCAGUGGGGAAUAUUGCACAAUGGGGGAAACCCUGAUGCAGCAACGCCGCGUGGAGGAUGACGCAUUUCGGUGUGUAAACUCCUUUUAUAUAGGAAGAUAAUGACGGUACUAUAUGAAUAAGCACCGGCUAACUCCGUGCCAGCAGCCGCGGUAAUACGGAGGGUGCAAGCGUUACUCGGAAUCACUGGGCGUAAAGCGCGCGCAGGCGGCCUUUUAAGUUGGAUGUGAAAUCCUAUGGCUUAACCAUAGAACUGCAUCCAAAACUAUCAGGCUAGAGUCUGGGAGGGGAAGAUGGAAUUAGUUGUGUAGGGGUAAAAUCCGUAGAGAUAACUAGGAAUACCAAAAGCGAAGGCGAUCUUCUGGAACAGUACUGACGCUGAGGCGCGAAAGCGUGGGGAGCAAACAGGAUUAGAUACCCCUGUAGUC
rnacentral:rRNA from 1 species